UUACUAUGAAGAGUUUGAUCCUGGCUCAGGAUGAACGCUAGCGGCAGGCCUAACACAUGCAAGUCGAGGGGCAGCGAGGGUAGCAAUACCUGUCGGCGACCGGCGCACGGGUGAGUAACGCGUAUGCAACCUGCCCCCGUCUGGGGAAUAGCCCGUCGAAAGGCGGAUU
rnacentral:rRNA from 1 species